UUGUCUUUCUUACAGUAUCUGAACAGAGCCAAAAGGAAGUUGCGCCUUCCUUCUAAGUAUUUGUGUGCAUAUUUAUAGUAUAAUUAUGAAAUUUUAACUGACUGCAACACUUUUUCUGACCAUAAUGGGCCUUUUCUCUUCUCUCAGCGUCCUAACUGCAAGAUUAUCUUGGUGCGUUGGAUUGUGGCAGUUUAUAUUGAAGAAUGAGUUGAACAGAGGUCUAGGGAGCUACAUGAUGUAGAAAUAACAUUUCUUGCUAUUUUGGGUAGUUACAAAGAUGAACUGAAUAAGUCAUUACCAGUAAGAGAUAGAAUUACAUCUCAGUGUUUCCAUGAGUUCUGUGUUUUCUGACCCAAGUAUCCACAGCAGACCCCCCUGCCUGAGCACAAGGUCUGGCCUUCAUCUCUGGUAUUGUUCCAAAUGAAGUUUCAAGUGCUGGAGGACGAGGUCAGCUUAGUUUUUCUUGAUGUGAUAGUUUGAGUACAUAUUGCAUUUACUAUGAAUUGAACUGUAUAAUUGCAACCCUUAGGUUAACACCCCCUCCCCUUUCAGAGCAACAGGAAAGUCCAGGUGGUUUGAAGCAAAUUAACAGAGGAAGUACUUAUGUGAAGACUUGUCACUAUUUUGUGGGUUGUUGGGUUUUUUUAAGUGUUUUUUGCAUCUGUAAAUGUAACAUUGUAAUACUUCAAUUACAAGCAUCAGAGUUUAUUUUGGAUA